rnacentral:rRNA from 1 species
GACGAACGCUGGCGGCGUGCUUAACACAUGCGAGUCGAACGGAAAGGCCCUGCUUUUGUGGGGUGCUCGAGUGGCGAACGGGUGAGUAACACGUGAGUAACCUGCCCUGGACGGUGGGAUAACUUCAGGAAACUGGGGCUAAUACCGGAUAGGAGCUCCUGCUGCAUGGGGGGGGUUGGAAAGUUUCGGCGGUUGGGGAUGGACUCGCGGCUUAUCAGCUUGUUGGUGGGGUAGUGGCUUACCAAGGCUUUGACGGGUAGCCGGCCUGAGAGGGUGACCGGCCACAUUGGGACUGAGAUACGGCCCAGACUCCUACGGGAGGCAGCAGUGGGGAAUCUUGCACAAUGGGCGGAAGCCUGAUGCAGCAACGCCGCGUGCGGGAUGACGGCCUUCGGGUUGUAAACCGCUUUCGCCUGUGACGAAGCGUGAGUGACGGUAAUGGGUAAAGAAGCACCGGCUAACUACGUG